AGAACGAACGCUGGCGGCAGGCUUAACACAUGCAAGUCGAACGCUCGUAGCAAUACGGGAGUGGCAGACGGGUGAGUAACGCGUGGGAACAUACCCUCCGGUUCGGAAUAGCUCAGGGAAACUUGGAUUAAUACCGGAUACGGCCGAGAGGCGAAAGAUUUAUCGCCGGAGGAUUGGCCCGCGUUCGAUUAGCUAGUUGGUGAGGUAACGGCUCACCAAGGCGAUGAUCGAUAGCUGGUCUGAGAGGAUGAUCAGCCACAUUGGGACUGAGACACGGCCCAAACUCCUACGGGAGGCAGCAGUGGGGAAUAUUGGACAAUGGGCGCAAGCCUGAUCCAGCCAUGCCGCGUGAGUGAUGACGGCCUUAGGGUUGUAAAGCUCUUUCGCUCGGGACGAUAAUGACGGUACCGAGAUAAGAAGCCCCGGCUAACUUCGCGCCAGCAGCCGC
rnacentral:rRNA from 1 species